CAAGUUUGACCCACGUUUACUUCUAAUCGUCCCUUUAAGAUUUCCUUUUCUAAUAAAGAGAUAUGCUUUUCGCUCUGUCCAAAAACAGCUAUGAGAUUCGUUCAUAGAGAUUUUUUACCGUUUGAAAAUCCUCGUCUUUAAGAAUUCCCCCCAAAAAUCAUCCCAAAGAACCAAGCUGGUAGCUAUAAGUACCAGCCUUGGGCUUCAUUUCAAAGGAGGAGUUGAACAACACAUCACACCAAAAAACCACUUUUUUUCUAAGAUUUUUGUUCUGGACGUGUUCACGCGAGUCGACUAUUGAGUAUAGAUCUGUGACCCAAGUCCCAGUUUGCUGCACCCGAAAAAGCAAUUGGAGUCUUCAUAAGAAGACUCUCGCCGCCGCUAGAAGUCCCAUCCUGAGACUCGAUAUCGCCGCUAGAUUUUGAACCCGUGUCUAUCCUGCAUUCAGUUCUCUCCCUCUCUUGAAAACAUCUGAACAAAUGCAAGGAGAAGAGGGGAAUACUGUUGCAUUUUUUGCUCGUCUUAAGAUUACUAACCGUUUUGUUUCCUUAUUUGUGAAUGUUUAUUUGAUUCGCUUAAGGUUAUCGACCCUAGAACAACUAGAUUUAGAGGGGUAGUUGACAUAAGGGAGAAGCUAGUAGUUAACUUUUCUUUUCUUCUUAUUUUUAGGUUACUUAUAAUACCUAUAACGUUUUCUUUGAAACAUUUAAGUCUAUACUUGUGACUUCUUUUUCUUAUCACUGUAAGCUUUGCAAAGAGGGAGAUGUGAAUCAAGUUUUGACCGGAAGACCGAUUUUC